GUGAGGAAUAUUGGUCAAUGGGCGGGAGCCUGAACCAGCCAAGUCGCGUGAAGGAAGAAGGAUCUAUGGUUCGUAAACUUCUUUUGCAGGGGAAUAAAGUGCAGGACGUGUCCUGUUUUGUAUGUACCCUGAGAAUAAGGAUCGGCUAACUCCGUGCCAGCAGCCGCGGUAAUACGGAGGAUCCGAGCGUUAUCCGGAUUUAUUGGGUUUAAAGGGUGCGUAGGUGGUUUGAUAAGUCAGCGGGGAAAGUUUGCAGCUUAACUGUAAAAAUGCCGUUGAAACUGUCGGACUUGAGUGUAAAUGAGGUAGGCGGAAUGCGUGGUGUAGCGGUGAAAUGCAUAGAUAUCACGCAGAACUCCGAUUGCGAAGGCAGCUUACUAAGCUACAACUGACACUGAAGCACGAAAGCGUGGGGAUCAAACAGGAUUAGAAACCCGGGUAGUCC
rnacentral:rRNA from 1 species